rnacentral:rRNA from 1 species
UGGGGAAUAUUGCACAAUGGGCGAAAGCCUGAUGCAGCGACGCCGCGUGAGGGAUGAAGGCCUUCGGGUCGUAAACCUCUUUCAGCAGGGAAGAAGCGCAAGUGACGGUACCUGCAGAAGAAGCACCGGCUAACUACGUGCCAGCAGCCGCGGUAAUACGUAGGGUGCGAGCGUUGUCCGGAAUUAUUGGGCGUAAAGAGCUCGUAGGCGGCUUGUCGCGUCGGAUGUGAAGCCCGAGGCUUAACCUCGGGUCUGCAUUCGAUACGGGCAGGCUAGAGUGUGGUAGGGGAGAUCGGAAUUCCUGGUGUAGCGGUGAAUGCGCAGAUAUCAGGAGGAACACCGGUGGCGAAGGCGGAUCUCUGGCCAUUACUGACGCUGAGGAGCGAAAGCGUGGGGAGCGAACAGGAUUAGAUACCCUGGUAGUCCACGCCGUAAACAGUGGGAACUAGUGUUGGCGACAUUCCACGUCGUCGGUGCCGCAG